rnacentral:rRNA from 1 species
ACGGAAUAGAUACCCCGGUAGUCCACGCCCUAAAUGAUGUCUACUAGUUGUCGGGUCUUAAUUGACUUGGUAAACGCAGCUAAACGCGUGAAGUAGACCGCCUGGGGAGUACGGUCGCAAGAUUAAAACUCAAAGGAAUUGACGGGGACCCGCACAAGCGGUGGAUGAUGUGGAUUAAUUCGAUGCAACGCGAAAAACCUUACCUACCCUUGACAUGGAAGGAAUCCCUGAGAGAUCGGGGAGUGCUCGAAAGAGAACCUUUACACAGGUGCUGCAUGGCUGUCGUCAGCUCGUGUCGUGAGAUGUUGGGUUAAGUCCCGCAACGAGCGCAACCCUUGUCAUUAGUUGCUACGAAAGGGCAUUCUAAUGAGACUGCCGGUGACAAACCGGAGGAAGGUGGGGAUGACGUCAAGUCCUCAUGGCCCUUAUGGGUAGGGCUUCACACGUCAUACAAUGGUACAUACAGAGGGCCGCCAACCCGCGAGGGGGAGCUAAUCCCAGAAAGUGUAUCGUAGUCCGGAUUGUAGUCUGCAACUCG